rnacentral:rRNA from 1 species
CCUACGGGAGGCAGCAGUGAGGAAUAUUGGUCAAUGGACGAGAGUCUGAACCAGCCAAGUAGCGUGAAGGAUGACUGCCCUAUGGGUUGUAAACUUCUUUUAUAUGGGAAUAAAAUGUUCCACGUGUGGGAUUUUGUAUGUACCAUAUGAAUAAGGAUCGGCUAACUCCGUGCCAGCAGCCGCGGUAAUACGGAGGAUCCGAGCGUUAUCCGGAUUUAUUGGGUUUAAAGGGAGCGUAGGUGGAUUGUUAAGUCAGUUGUGAAAGUUUGCAGCUCAACCGUAAAAUUGCAGUUGAAACUGGCAGUCUUGAGUACAGUAGAGGUGGGCGGAAUUCGUGGUGUAGCGGUGAAAUGCUUAGAUAUCACGAAGAACUCCGAUUGCGAAGGCAGUUCACUGGACUGCAACUGACACUGAGGCUCGAAAGUGUGGGUAUCAAACAGGAUUAGAUACCCCUGUAGUC